rnacentral:tRNA from 1 species
UGGUGUAUAGCUCAGUGGCAGAGCACACGCUGAGCAUGCACAGGGUCCUGGGUUCAAUCCCCAGUACCUCCA